GGGGCGUAGUUCAAUUGGUAGAGCACCGGUCUCCAAAACCGGGUGUUGGGGGUUCAGCAGGGGGUCGCGGGUUCGAGUCCCGUCCGUUCCG
rnacentral:tRNA from 1 species